rnacentral:lncRNA from 1 species
UGUUUGUUUGUUUGUUUUUUGAGACAGGGUUUCUCUGUGUAGCCCUGGCUGUCCUGGAACUCACUCUGUAGACCAGGCUGGCCUCGAACUCAGAAAUAUGCCUGCCUCUGCCUCUGUCUCCCAAGUGCUGGGAUUAAAGACGUGCGCCACCACGCCUGGCCUGUAGACACUCUUAUGUGUGUCUACACAUAAGUGCUUUUUGUACAUGGUUUCUCUGUGUAGUGUUGGUUGUGUAGGUGUGCACCAUACCUGAUCUUUCUCUGCAUCUCACCCUCUUUCUCAGGCUUUCCUCACGUCUUUCCUCUUCCAUGCGUGCGAGCGUGAGAGAGUGAGAGACAGAGACAGAGACAGGCAGGCAGGGAGAGUGGGAGAGCAGAUAGCCUGAAGUGUUCCUGGUUCUUGAUUGGUCAGCAAGGCCAUAGGAACCCACCUAUCUAUCUCUGCCUCAGUGAUAAAAUUACAAGCUUAUACCACCAUAUCUAGAAUUUUUUUCCAUGGUGUCAAAAUCAUGUUUUGAUGCUUUAAAGAGAAACAUUUUCCCAAAUGACCUACUUCACUGGCCCUCAAAUAUGUUUGAAAUUCAUUUUCAGAUAGACACUUGAAACUACUCUUAUUUAUAAAACAAUUAGAUAAUUUGCUGUAUCAAGAGUUAAAAGUCCAAAUUUCUGGGAAGUGAUGGCU